UACGAAGGGUGCAAGCGUUACUCGGAAUUACUGGGCGUAAAGCGCGCGUAGGCGGCUGUCUAAGUCGGACGUGAAAUCCCCAGGCUCAACUUGGGAACUGCGUCCGAUACUGGAUGGCUUGAAUUCGGGAGAGGGAUGCAGAAUUCCAGGUGUAGCGGUGAAAUGCGUAGAUAUCUGGAGGAAUACCGGUGGCGAAGGCGGCAUCCUGGACCGAGAUUGAC
rnacentral:rRNA from 1 species